rnacentral:misc_RNA from 1 species
AAGCUUCCAUAAAAAUAAGCUACAACUACUGACAUUUUGUCUAGAAUCUCAUGAUACUUGACUCUAUGAACCGUGGCCAAAUAAAAUAUUGUAAAAGCUUAAAAUAAACAGUGAAAUGACUUCUCAUCUAUCAUUCUUUUGGUGGAUUGAAGGCAACUUGAAUAAUCUUCUCUUAUCAAACCUACCAUCUGCUACAAAUAUCAUUAGUUCUUCAUUUUUUUAUAUUGUAUCCAUCAGAUUUGGGACAUAGUUACCUGUGCAGUAUGCCUUGGAUCGUGGUAUGGUUAUGGAUAUUUACUACACCACUUAACUAGAUAUAAGGUACAUGGGGGAUAGACUUGAUUGUUAUGCUAGUUCCAAACACAGUACAUGAAUUAUAUUAAUUCGAUUCGCGUUACUCGAAAUACACUAACUAGCAUGAUCCCUAAGCCUAAAAAUACCAAAUAAAAAAUAAUUUCCUGUUAUUUU